UUUCAUAUGAAUAUAAUACAGAUGUGGAAAAUACAUUAAGUGAUCCAGAAGCUCCAGAAGAUAGAGUGCACGGCAAUUAUAAUGAAGACCAUGAACCAAAACAUGAAGAGCAGACUGAGGCUCAAGAUACAGCUGUCGACAACCUUCUGGAGGAUGUGAAUGAAGCCACAGAGCCAGAUGAAAUAUCAGAAGAUGUUGAUAUUGGUAAAGACCUGUCAGUAGAAAGUGAGCAUACAGAAGAUCUUGUGACCACUGAACCAGAGGAAUCAGAAGUUCCUGUUAAAGCUGAGGAUUAUUCAAAUGACAAUCUAGUGGAUACUUAAAGCUUCAAAAAGAAAAGUCCCUACAUCAGGAGGACCAGCCCUAACCAUACGCUACAAAAGGGGAGCAGAUGGUUGUAAUAGAUCUUAUGACGUAAUUACCGAGCAGUUCAGGGUUUGGGGAAUGAACACUAAGAUACUGUAAAUGGGUUUUAGCCAACUGUCAUUUUAGUAAGUUUUUUUUAACACUUGGAUGUUUAAUUUACAUUCCUGUCUGAUUUCUCCCCUCUGCCCCCUUGGUCAAGUUUAGUGAAUUCAUUAUUUUUCUUCUGUGUUUGUAAUGGAGUUGCAACUUUGAGCUACAUUUCAGAUGUGCUGUUCAAGCAAUUGUUAAUAUUCUAUUUAUAACGCGACAGCAAGUACAUUUUUUCAGAUUUUAGUAUAUAUCUUUUGUUGUGGAUUCAUACAGUAUGUACAGAGCAGUUUGGUCCCAUGAAACACAUAUUAUGAAUUUUUAGAUGUUUUAUAACUGCUGAUAUAGCAUACAGCCUGACUGCAUUUUAUUGAAAACACUAAUCAGGCGCCCACUAUGCUGUGAAAUUUGACUUGUAUCUCUUUGCACUGAUGUUAUGUCAACAGUUACACUACAUGAAUUUCAGGUAUUUUUAAAAUAGUCUAACAAGGUACAAAAAUGUGUAUGUUUAAUUCAUGCUAGUAAAAAGGCAGUUUACUAGAUUACUUUUUUCAGAAAACUUUUGUGUGUGAAUUCAAACUUUUUAUUUAUUCACAUCUGAUUUUUAAAGCAAAAAUAUCUAGAAACUAUGUAAUAGCUUGGCAGGGAGUCAGUGUACAUUGCAGUGAAACUGAGUUGCUGGAAUCAGGUUGAGUUCAGUAAAAUAAUAAAAAUAAUAAGAAAUAAUGCUGAAUUUAGUAAGCUGUAUAUUCAGUGAAUUAAUUUAAGUCGAAUUUGCUUAAAUACUUGACUUGAAAAUUUUAUUUAAAAAAAUUGGAAAUUCAACCAUAAGAAAAUAGGAUAUCUAAAUUUAAGACCUAAAAUCAUAAAUGCUCUUGUAAAUAAUCUGUCUGAAAUUUAGACUUCAAGUGAUUUAGAAUUUUAAUAUAACAGGUGUACUUUUUACCUGUUCUGUGCUGCUGUUCCACAAUUACGAAGACUUUUUUUUUUGUUGCCAUUUUGCAUGUGUUUCUUUUUGGCUCAGGAAUGAUUGCUAUGAUUUUAGAAAAUUGCUAAGCCUGAAAUGGGAGGUUAGAAGAAAUAAGAUAAAUUUUGAAGGAAAAAAAAA
ensembl:lncRNA